GACGAGCGCUGGCGGCGUGCCUAAUACAUGCAAGUUGAGCGCUGAAGGUUGGUACUUGUACCAACUGGAUGAGCAGCGAACGGGUGAGUAACGCGUGGGGAAUCUGCCUUUGAGCGGGGGACAACAUUUGGAAACGAAUGCUAAUACCGCAUAAAAACUUUAAACACAAGUUUUAAGUUUGAAAGAUGCAAUUGCAUCACUCAAAGAUGAUCCCGCGUUGUACUAGCUAGUUGGUGAGGUAAAGGCUCACCAAGGCGAUGAUACAUAGCCGACCUGAGAGGGUGAUCGGCCACAUUGGGACUGAGACACGGCCCAAACUCCUACGGGAGGCAGCAGUAGGGAAUCUUCGGCAAUGGACGAAAGUCUGACCGAGCAACGCCGCGUGAGUGAAGAAGGUUUUCGGAUCGUAAAACUCUGUUGGUAGAGAAGAACGUUGGUGAGAGUGGAAAGCUCAUCAAGUGACGGUAACUACCCAGAAAGGGACGGCUAACUACGUG
rnacentral:rRNA from 1 species